GUUCUUGUAGUGGUGGUGGAAAUUUACAUUGACUUUUUCCAUACUUGGUGAGUUGAACCUCAGAUCUCCUGUGAUCCACCAGAACAACUGUCAGCUUCAAUAGACAAUGACAGGAUCUGCAGUUGGGGGCAAAGAUGUCUGACUCCAGAAACUUCUUGAGGCUUGCUGUAGGCCCCUGAAUGCUCUUCCCUUAUUUACCCAGAGAUCCCAACAAGAAGGAUGAAAUAUGCACAUCUUCCUAUAGGAAGCCUACAUGCUUUCACUCCAGGAAAGACAGGAAAACAACUGAGUUGAAGCUAUUUUGGAAAUCAUGUAUCUGUGAG
rnacentral:lncRNA from 1 species